rnacentral:rRNA from 1 species
GACGAACGCUGGCGGCGUGCUUAACACAUGCAAGUCGAGCGGGGAGAUCACUUUCGGGUGAUCUUCUAGCGGCGGACGGGUGAGUAACGCGUGAGCAACCUUUCUCUCAGUGGGGAAUAACACCGGGAAACUGGUACUAAUACCGCAUGAGACCACAGAGUCGCAUGCCUUAGGGGUCAAAGAUUUAUUGCUGAGAGGUGGGCUCGCGUCUGAUUAGGUAGUUGGUGAGGUAACGGCCCACCAAGCCGACGAUCAGUAGCCGACCUGAGAGGGUGAUCGGCCACAUUGGGACUGAGACACGGCCCAAACUCCUACGGGAGGCAGCAGUGGGGAAUAUUGGGCAAUGGGGGAAACCCUGACCCAGCAACGCCGCGUGGAGGAAGAAGGUUUUCGGAUCGUAAACUCCUGUCCUCAGGGAAGAGCAGAAGACGGUACCUGAGGAGGAAGCCCCGGCUAACUACGUGCCAGCCGCCGCAGUAACAC